rnacentral:tRNA from 1 species
AGCCCCGUAGUGUAGUGGUCAAUCAUGCUGGCCUUUGGAGCCGGUGACGGCAGUUCGAAUCUGCCCGGGGCUACCA